rnacentral:rRNA from 1 species
UACGUAGGGUGCGAGCGUUAAUCGGAAUUACUGGGCGUAAAGCGUGCGCAGGCGGUUUUGUAAGCCAGAUGUGAAAUCCCCGGGCUUAACCUGGGAAUGGCAUUUGGUACUGCAAGGCUUGAGUGCGGCAGAGGAGACUGGAAUUCCCGGUGUAGCAGUGAAAUGCGUAGAUAUCGGGAGGAAUACCGAUGGCGAAGGCGGGUCUCUGGGCCGUAACUGACGCUGAGGAGCGAAAGCGUGGGGAGCGAACAGG